AGUGGCCAGACUGCCCCGAGCUGCCGGAGUGGCCAGACUGCCCCGAGCUGCCGGAGUGGCCAGACUGCCCCGAGCUGCCGGAGUGGCCAGACUGCCCCGAGCUGCCGGAGUGGCCAGACUGCCCCGAGCUGCCGGAGUGCCCCGAGCUGCCAGACUGCCCAGACUGCCUGGAACGGCAAGAGCCUGAGCCGCCUCCAGGAUAGGUGGGUUGGGGAGGGAGGGUGUAGCACAGUGCCGUCGUUGACGGCAGCCACCCUCCCUUCCCUCCCUUAUUGUUUAGGGUUACUGUUUUAGGGUUUUGUUGGGGAUUUUGUUUGUUGGUGUUUUUUUGUUGUUGUGGUUAGGUGCAUUUCGGGGUCUGCACCUUGAGGGGGGGGGUACUGUCACAUCCUGACCAGCAGAUGGAGCUGGUGUAGUAGUUUGGGGGUCAGGACGUGGCAGUCUGGUGUGUGUCUUGUGACUCCUGAUCAGGAACAGCUGGGAAUCGUUGUUCCUGAUUGGGAGUCACAUAUGUAGGAGUUGUUUGUCACUGGGGUUUGUGGGUAAUUGUUUCUUGUUUAGUGUGUUUGCACCUGACAGGACUGUUGGCUGUCAGUUUCCUUGUUUUGUUUGUUAUAGUGUUCUUUUUAAUUAUAUUGAAAGAUGAAUACUAACUCCGCUGCUUUUUGGUCCAUUCCUAAAGAUAGCCCUUACACAGGUUUUGUUUGUAGUUAAAACUUUUGGAUUGCUGAAUCGGUGUAGUAUAGUGAAUGCUGACAAAAUGUUUUGUGUUUUUUCCAGGAAAAUGGGGAUAUCAUUGUCUCUCUUUGAAAUGUUUCCCGGGGCUAUAAUCUUGGGGACCUGAGCCCUAGGACCAUGCCUCAGGACUACCUGGCUUGAUGACUCCUUGCUGUCCCCAGUUCACCUGGCCGUGCUGCUGCUCCAGUUCCAACUGUUCUGCCUGCAGCUAUGGAACCCUGACCUGUUCACCAGACCUGUUGUCCCAGACCUGCUGGAACCCUGACCUAUUCACCGGACGUGCUACCUGUCCCAGACCUGCUGUUUUCAACUCUCUAGAGACAGCAGGAGCGGUAGAGAUACUCUCAAAGAUCGGCUAUGAAAAAGCCAACUGACACUUACUCUUGUGUUACUGACUUGUUGCACCCUCGACAACUACUAUGAUUAUUUGACCAUGCUGGUCAUUUAUGAACAUUUGAACAUCUAGGCCAUGUGCUGUUAUAAUCUCCACCCGGCACAGCCAGAAGAGGACUGGCCACCCCUCAUAGCCUGGUUCCUCUCUAGGUUUCUUCCUAGGUUUUGGCCUUUCUAGGGAGUUUUUCCUAGCCACCGUGCUUCUACACCUGCAUUGCUUGCUGUUUGGGGUUUUAGGCUGGGUUUCUGUACAGCACUUUGAGAUAUCAGUUAAUGUAAGAAGGGCUAUAUAAAUAAAUUUGAUUUGAUAUUUUCC
rnacentral:lncRNA from 1 species